UUCCUAGUAUAAGAAUGUCCCGUGCAAUAUUUGGGAUAUACUUACACUAAAA
rnacentral:pre_miRNA from 1 species